CCUACGGUGGGCAGCAGUGGGGAAUAUUGCACAAUGGGGGAAACCCUGAUGCAGCGACGCCGCGUGAGUGAAGAAGUAUUUCGGUAUGUAAAGCUCUAUCAGCAGGAACGAGACAAGACGGUACCUGACUAAGAAGCCCCGGCUAACUACGUGCCAGCAGCCGCGGUAAUACGUAGGGGGCAAGCGUUAUCCGGAAUCACUGGGUGUAAAGGGAGCGUAGACGGCUGUGCAAGCCUGAAGUGAAAGGCGGGGGCCCAACCCCUGGACUGCUUUGGGAACUGUACGGCUGGAGUGCAGGAGAGGUAAGUGGAAUUCCUAGUGUAGCGGUGAAAUGCGUAGAUAUUAGGAGGAACACCAGUGGCGAAGGCGGCUUACUGGACUGUAACUGACGUUGAGGCUCGAAAGCGUGGGGAGCAAACAGGAUUAGAUACCCCUGUAGUC
rnacentral:rRNA from 1 species